rnacentral:rRNA from 1 species
ACGGAGGGUGCAAGCGUUGUCCGGAUUUAUUGGGUUUAAAGGGUGCGUAGGCGGUUUAUUAAGUCAGUGGUGAAAGACGGUCGCUCAACGAUUGCAGUGCCAUUGAUACUGGUAGACUUGAGUGAGAUUGAGGUAGCUGGAAUGGAUAGUGUAGCGGUGAAAUGCAUAGAUAUUAUCCAGAACACCAAUUGCGUAGGCAAGUUACUAAGUCUCAACUGACGCUGAGGCACGAAAGUGUGGGUAUCAAACAGGAUUAGAUACCCUGGUAGUCCACACUGUAAACGAUGAUAACUAACUGUUGGCUUUCGGGUCAGUGGUACAGAGAAAUCGUUAAGUUAUCCACCUGGGGAGUACGCCGGCAACGGUG